GAGAAGUUCACAAUCCACAAAAAAACAGCAUAAUUAACCAUAUCUUAAAGUGCACAAAGCUAUCAAACAAUUUAGAGAUCAUCAUCUAUCCCCUCAUAAUGGUUGUCGUAAACAGAGUCUUAUUAGCAAAAGCUUGAGUCAGCUAGAGACGAACUCUGUCCCUCUCUUCAAUUCCUGGUGAUGAACACGGCAGUAACACAAAUUUAAUUUCAAC
rnacentral:misc_RNA from 1 species